CAGUACCCACUCUAUCUUUCCUCAACCGACCCGUUUCUCUUGUCUUUCUCACAAGAAAAUAUGCAGCCACAGAAUAACCAGAGGAGAAUCUAGUAAAACUCGUGAAGAAACAUCUCUGCUAAUUCAUAAUUUCAUGCGACUUCACAGAGACAAAAUCCAACCGCGUGGUCUUCCCUCUCCCUUUCUCCAAUCACGCGUCACCCUUUUCUUCUCCCUCUGCUAUGAAUGGUACGACCUUCAAGACAGGCGACCUGUAUGCGAGCAGGCCAAAUGGAGCAAUCUCCACAAUUUGUGCGUUCCUAGCUUAAGAUCGAAUGACUUUCCUUCGACUUCCAUUGAGAUUGGUACGAUUUAGUACUAAUUCCAGCUUGCUCAUCUUUAUCCUCUGAGAUUUUGAAUUUCGGUGGGGAAUUUGUUACUCCUUUUCUAAUCUAUCCCCCCACUUUUCUCAACCCCUAAUCUCCCCCUAUAUGUAGUCUAUUCGAUUUUCUGAUUAAGGAAUUUUUUUUAGGGCUAAAAAUUUAGGUUUGGAAGGUUUAGUUGGAGUUUUAGGCAGAAAAUCAGGCGAAACAUUGUAGAAACAGGGGAAGAUUUUAAGGUAGAAAAAUUGUUAGAAGUUUUGGAGUUUGAAGCUUUUCCGUAUAUUUUUAAAAGGGAAUGAAAUACUAAGAGAACAUAAAGAAAGAUAGAAAAAGAGACAGUGAGGCGCUCGAAUAGAGGGAUUUACUUUCUAUAAGAGCAUCAAGUUUUUUUCUCAUUCUACAUAAAUUCCUCCUGGUUUCUUCAAAAAUUCGAUACUCAUUUUUGGAAGUUCGUAACCCUGCUCGGUAGUGUUUCAGUUUUGCCGCAUCGAAAAAGGCAUGCUAUAUUGUGGAGUUGACAUCAGCCUGACAUUGCAUUUGGGAAUAGAUAUGUGUUAAUUGAUUUAAUUAAAAUAUGGUCUUGUUAUUGUCAAGCAUGUAUUUCUUAUUGUGUUUCAUUUAAAUAGAGUAAACUAUUGCUAGUAAUUUCCUGUUUAUUCUAAAUUGUCUAGCUUGACUUCUUAAUUUUAAAUUCAUGUUUUAAGCGUCUUUUCAUUUUGGAUGAUGAUAUUGUUCUUUUUUUUUGUGUAUGAACUCCUCUCCGAGUCUUCAUGGAAUUCUCCUUUUCAUUGCAUUUUUUGAGAGUGUCAUAAAGACUCCACUUCCCUUAUUCGAGUCAGCCAGCCAAUAAAACUCGACGUACAGGGCCCCGAGUUAAAAGAAGUUGGAGGAAAUCAAACAGAUGAAGAAGUUGAGCCGAAAGAGACCCAAUUUAUUUAAUUUGUUUUCCUUAUCACAUUGUAUUUAUUUUUGGGCAUAAGCCCUUUUCUUUUUAUGUAUUUAUUUUAUAUUUAUUAUUGUUUAGUCUAGGACAGGUACGAAAGAAAAUGGACCAAAGGACCAAAACAAAAAUGGGUCAAAAAGCCCAAAAUAUGUGGGUCCAAAAUUCCGGUCAAGGCAAACAGAACCUGAAUUUGGAUCCAAAUAUCUCUUUCUCUCUCUUUCUCUUACCUUAUCAUCUAUGUAUUUGCGUUUAUUUGUAGUUA